rnacentral:rRNA from 1 species
GCUACCAUGCAGUCGAACGAAACUUUUUGCUUCGGUAGAAAGUUUAGUGGCGGACGGGUGAGUAACGCGUGAGGAACCUGCCUUUCAGAGGGGGAUAAUGUCUGGAAACGGACACUAAUACCGCAUGACAUUUUCUGUUCACAUGGACAGAAAAUCAAAGGAGCAAUCUGCUGAAAGAUGGACUCGCGUCCGAUUAGCUAGAUGGUGAGAUAAUAGCCCACCAUGGCGACGAUCGGUAGCCGGACUGAGAGGUUGAACGGCCACAUUGGGACUGAGACACGGCCCAGACUCCUACGGGAGGCAGCAGUGGGGGAUAUUGCACAAUGGAGGAAACUCUGAUGCAGCAACGCCGCGUGAAGGAAGACGGUCUUCGGAUUGUAAACUUUUGUACCUAGGGACGAUAAUGACGGUACCUAGGCAGCAAGCUCCGGCUAACUACGUGCCAGCAGCCGCGGUAAUACGUAGGGAGCGAGCGUUGUCCGGAUUUACUGGGUGUAAAGGGUGCGUAGGCGGUCAAGCAAGUCAGCUGUGAAAACUAUGGGCUUAACCCAUAGCCUGCAAUUGAAACUGUUUGGCUUGAGUGAAGUAGAGGUAGGUGGAAUUCCCGGUGUAGCGGUGAAAUGCGUAGAGAUCGGGAGGAACACCAGUGGCGAAGGCGACCUACUGGGCUUUAACUGACGCUGAAGCACGAAAGCAUGGGUAGCAAACAGGAUUAGAUACCCUGGUAGUCCAUGCUGUAA